GUUCCUUUUUGAAGGAAUGAACCGUUCCUUUCGAAGGAAUGACCUGGCUUCUUCCUGCCAUCCCAUCUCAACGGCAAAGGAAGUCUGUAAGUGUGGAAAGAAAAAGAAGAGUUGUAGGCAUCUAUUGUCAAAAAACCAAAAGAAAUGAAAGGCAAAUGAAAACCUGAUUUAUAUGGUUCUGCAGCACUUUGGAACUGACUACAAAUCAUGACUAUGGAAACACCAGCAACAAACAAUUUUCUGACAAUGAGCAGGAGGAGUCAGAAGGUUGACUCAUAAGUCAGCACCUACUCAGUUACCUACUACUGAUUUCUUCAGAGGUCUCAAUAUCUUUUGUAAUUUUUCCUGUUUUAAAACUUUCAGCUAAAAUGUCUACACACAGCAGCUGUACACGCAAUCCUAUGGGCAAGUACACCUGUCCCCAAACUGGACACAGAAAGGAUAGAACUGUUUGGAUUGAAGAAGUUGAAAGAGUUAUUUGAAUGACAGGUUUAGGUAAUUUGAUGUAUAAUUUGUAGCAGAUGUUUGAACUGUCUGUAUUACUUCUAACUACAGGGAAAAUAAUAACUGUUAAAUUUAAUAGCGUCUCUGAGAAUAUGAAUGCAUGGUGAAUAUGAAUUGUGGCAUACCAAAUGAGAGUAGUUUUAGUAACAUUUUAAUUAAACAGCUACUGGGAAUGCCAAAUCAUGUGCUCUUAAAUUGGUGAAAUUCAAGGAAAAUACAUUACAGCUACAUCUACCUGUGACCACACCUCGUGUGAGCUGAAGUAUGAUAUAUACUGGUAUCUGACUAGGCGAAGUGCUACACAAGAGCUGACUUAUUCUUUGGUUACUCUAAAAUUGUCAGAAAACACGUUGGUUUUGACAGGAAAUAACUUUUAAUAAAGGAUAUUGGCACCACAA